UUUUUGCAGAGUUUCCUGCUUUGCACACGUGUUAAGAACUCGACAGUGCGUGGUGUGUGUGCGUGGCAGAAAAUGUGCGAAAACAAUAGGAUGCGAGGCUGGUCCUUUCCUUAACCUCACUUCGAUAUCACCCUGGGGGAGAAAGAUCGUUGGCGUGUGGCGUGUGUGUGAUAAAACGAUAGAAAAAGAGGACACGAUUUGGGAUUGCGCUAGAACGAGAGACUACACACAAGCUUAACGAGGAGCGCGCGCGCGCUCGUGGUUUUCGCGUAAUUCCGUAUAUGGUGUUCGGGGUUUUUUUUUUGGUUGGUCACACACCACCACGCCAUCACCACACAACCGGCCAAUGGUGUGUAAAACAAAAAAGAAAACUGUCAUAAUGCUUGAUCAUGCAGCAGCAGCAGGAGGCACCAAAAGGGAAGCAGAGGCUCGUUUGUGUGUUCAAUCGAGUGUGCCGUGCCGUGCCGUGUGGGGAGCUUCCAUUCUUUGCGUCGUUGAAAUUCAAGUUUUAUUUUCUCUCCCCCCUGCGCCGCCGUGUGUUUGUGAGUGCGCGCGUGAUUGUGUGUGCAACGGCAAAAUAUCCGAUCGAAGCAAGCGUGUGUGGUGGUGGUUUUGAAGGAGCAGUAGAAGGAGGCAGCAGCGCUCAUCCAGAACUUGCCACCAGGUCCAAACAGGGCAGGAGAUGAUACAGCAGCAGCAGCAACAGCGCCAUAUCACAUUCCCUUUCUGGUUUUGUGCGAUUAGAAGAAGGUGACAUUUCUGCAGCGGAGAGUCUCGAUGACUCGAUCGGGCACAACCACACAUACGCACACACACACGCACACGCCCUUCCGUAAUCGAUACACCUAUCUGCCCCCCGCACAUCCAAUGCUUCCCUCUGUGUGUGCUGUGGUGGUUGCUGCUGUUGCCCACAUUUGUGAGGAGUUUCCAUGGAAUUCCCUCCUCCCCAGCGCACUACGGAAGAAGCGACCCGAGGUUUGUGUGCUGCUGUUGCUGCUCUGCUGUUGUGUGCGAAAUCAGGCUCCUCUCAGUCGUCCUCGACCGUGGUGGCCACCACUCCUCUGGCGGGAUUGCCAGUGCGUUUUCCUCUCUGGGGUGUCUGUUCACAUCUUACCGGGCAGCAUUAGAUAUGUUAUCGGAUAUUUCUAAUACUGUCAGGUAAAGAUGUCGUCCGAGCCCAUGCUCAUCUUUCUUGUGUCUCUGUGUGUGUGUGGCGUGGAAGAAGUGAUCAUUUGUUUAGUAGUUGGCGGAACUCGGGGAACUGCUUCGUUCGAUCCGUAAUACCAGGCAAGUAUACACGGGAGCAGAUGUUUUGUGAGUAUUUAAUUAACUUUUAAAUGCAACUCUUACACCAACCAUCAAAUCGUUCCCUUGUUUCAGCUUCCCAGCACUAACUGAAACAUUUGCUUUUAGGAACAAUAUCACGAGAAGGCAACAUAUUAUCAUAUUCCCCCCCAAAAAAGGGGAAGAUCAAAUUGCCGCACGAAAAUAAACAUAAAAUUGUCAAGCCCAGUACUGCUACUCUGCUCCCUUGGCCGGGCGAUCGCACAGCAAUCAUCAUCGCAUCGUCGUGCAACAUCCCAUCCACAAUAUCAUCUCCCCUGCCGGUGGCUGCUCUCUGCUGAUCAAAUAAUAUUGGUCUGAUGUGGGACAACACAGCAGAAGCAGCAGUGUGUGUCUCAUGCCUGCCGCCGCCCCACGGCGUGAGAGAGAGAGAGAAACGAAGCAGACGAAGAAACGCACGAGCGCGCGCAUGCUGAGCAUAAUUGGUUAAAUUGAUAUGGUUUCCGAGGGCGGGCGGCGGAUUGCGGCGGGACAGCGUCGUCGUCGACGGUACCGUUGUAUGAUGACCGUCGCUGUGUCUCCUCCAUGGGAGGAUCAUGUCGCGUUUUUCAGUCCACGUUUGGGAAAAUGUACACACACACAGCAGCCGCUUAUCCUCGUUUAAGGGUGAGGUGGACCGUCCCGGGCGGAGCAGCAUGUUUGGCGACCUCAAAAGGGAGAAGAGAGGUUUCAAUAAUAUGCGUGCGCGCGGCAAUGGGCAAGUAAUGAGACACACGCAAUGGAUAGAGGAGACGAUGAAACACGGACACAAGGGGACUUGUGUUGUGCAAAGGAAAAUUGUUUCCUUCUGGAGACAGUUUUGUACACACACACACACACACGCACACGGGCGCACUUGACUCAAACCCGGGGGCUUUCUGUGUAAAUAGCCUUGAAUUAGCGUUGAAAGAGCAAUGCGGGCGAGAGGAGAGAAGUGUUAUCAUCAUCAUCGUGUAAAGUAUUAUUGCCAUCACCGACUGGACGGCGAUGCUUUGCUAAAUAAUAGGGCGCUUUUUAAAAUGAACACGUUUUCAACUGCAAACAACGAGUUGCUCUUUGUGUGUGUUCGGUGUUUGUUACGGAAAAAUUUUGGGGCGUAAAAUGCGUUAGGAGGAGGCAGUCGUGUGUGUGUGAAAUGCAAUAAUUUGCAGCCCACAGGCGCUGUGGUCGACCCUUUUGAAGUCGUCCCUCUCUAAUACCAACCAAUGCUGUUUGCUCUUCUAUACUUCCAAUUGGUCAUUUUUAUCACACAAGUUCCUCUAACUGGUACCGAUACGGGGAAACGAUGAUGCCGCAAGUGUACAAGUGUUGCCGAUGGGAAACCAGUUUUUGUUUGGGCGCGCUUGGAGCGUUCUACGUGAAUGCCUUGCAACCUAGCAACAAAAACACACGCCUCUCUGUCUCUCCCCUUAGCUGGUGGUUGUUGUUGUUGGCGGCGAUCGAACAUUCGAUCGAGCAAAGAGAUGAGAUGAUUUGCUUGCAUCUUCUCCUCUCCCUUCGUAAUUCCGUCCCAUCAUAAAGCACAGGAACACACCUUAGCAAACAACAAACUCUCGUUGAACCCUCCCGAACCGUUUUCGCGCAUGCAUGAGUGCAAUUUGGAGCCGUCGUGUGUGUGUCUUUUAAAAACGAGAAAACAAUACGAUGAGAGAUGAUCAAGCAGUAGUGUACUGCCGCGCGUCCUUCGAAUGAUGUUGGGCCUUUUUUUUUUUUGGACUCUAAACGAGAGCCCCGCAGGUGUUAAUUACGGUCAGGAAAGUGACCCCCUUCACCGCCACUGUGUACGUCUAUGUAAAUUCAAGGCAAGAAGUGACCUUUACCGUUAACGACGAUCGAUCGUUACGAUCGAAAGUGAAUGGGUGCUCAAUUUGGUGCGUGGCAGGAAGGGUCAAGCAGUGGCCAUCUUUCCAAUUAGCUAAACUAAGUAAAAAACAUUAUUUUAAAAAAAUCGACUAUGAGCGAAAUUGCUUACGGCUUGAUCGUUUUUGGGUUAACGGCAGUGCUGUUGUGAGCCCCUUUGAACGCGUGCACAUGCUCCUCGACCCUGAUCUUCAGAAGGUGGUGAUCUUCGCUUUUCAGCAGAUCAAUCACCUUUCCCUCCAAAAUGUGAUAUGCGAUAUGAUGAUGACGCUCCCCCCACUGGGGAGGUUUGUCAGAUUUCAAAUCAAAGAAAAAUGCUUUCCCCUGCUCGCUAAAAAGGGGUCAUGACUUUGGCCGUCACAUUGUGUCGCGCACUUGAGCUCCCAGAAUUUCUGAAAAUCUUAUGUCUCGACGUUGGCGGGUGGUCGCGUUUAGAAAACACGAGAAAGAGUCCGGGUCCGAGUUCGUGUGUGCUGUGUGUGUAGAGUACACAUUACAUUCACGAUGGAUGAUGCGGCGGCGGCGGUGGCAUGUGUAUUGUUUACAUAUUCUCCGCGGCUUUAAGACAUCGGCACAAACCCAAGGAAUCUAAAUGCCCUUUUUUUGUUUCGUUUUCUUUCUUAUUUUAGAACCAAAGUUCGGACAAGCACGGAACGGAAAAUGGAUACAAAAAAAUGUAAAACAAUAUGCCAGGGACACAUACACACACCGACAAGAAACGAAGCAAUCUUUUUCCUUAUCGUCUCAGUACCGACAACGGAUGGACGGACCAUCAUGUACGCACGGGGGACACUGUCCCUCUCUCACCAUUCUCGCUGAGGCCGCCGCGAAGGAUUUAUUUAUCAGCGAUAAUUCUCAGUGUGCGCCAGAUGAUGCGUCUUUCCGCCUCUGUGCCUUGGUACACGUUUUAAUCCAUUCUUUACUGUGUUAGCGCACACUGGCCCCUGGUACGUUAAUGCUUUUUAUUGUCGAGUGGCGCGAGAAGAUAGUGAUUUGUUGUCACACGAACGAGAAGAGGACACUUCACGGGGUUGCAGCAGGGGAAGGCUGAUCUUUUUUAUGAAAGGCAAUCAACCAACCAGAACAGGCAAAACCCGUUCACUUUUCACUAGAUGGUGAAAUCGAAUUUAAAUUCUUACGGACACACACACUGCGCGAUUAAGAGGAACACUAAGCAAUUCUUCCACCAUUAUUGCCACCUGCUCUCUCUGGGGCUGCUCUUCCUGGUGGGGGGAGGUGGUUGUGGGGACAAUUUUCGUCACAUUUUUCACCCUCUCCUGGUGCGUGAUUUCGUGACGGAUGUGUGUAGAUUUGUCUUCAAGACGCACAUUUUUCAUCCUCACGCUACUGGUGAGGCAACACUCACAUUUCUAACGCGAGUGAAAAGGAACAGUCACAUCGACGACGAUCACAUCACCACGAUCCGCGUUUCCGUGCGUACUUGAAGAAACAAAAUGAUUCUAAGAAAAUGCGUUCGCCAUUUAAACGUCUUUUUUCAACUUCAACUCGUGAGUUUGAGGGAGUGAAAUUACUCAACGAGCGCCCCGCCAUUGUCACCUUGUUGCGUUCUUUUUAUUUUUAAGUUUUAGUCGUGGUUUUCAGCUUUCGCAAGAUUCAUUUAUUUUCAAACACAAGCUCUACCGGUUGUGUGUUGCUGCUCGCUUGCCCACAGUCGUCCUGCACAGAGCGCCGGUGUGCGUUUCUUGUUACAGCAGCAAAUUCUUAUGUCCCUUCCCCAAGUGUCCGGUUGAAAUGAAGGCAAGAAUCUUAUAAGAGAUCUCUUCUUUCUUUUGUGUUAGGCUGUUUCGUUUCAUUUACCGAGCGCGUCUGAAGCAACCACACACUCUUGUCGCAACAGCGUUGUGUGGCAAGUGUUAAAAAUGUAAUAAUAUCCAUCCUACCAACAGUGUGUGGUUUCUCCACUUGCGACUCUGUUAUUUAUGUUUUUUUGAUAAUUAAUCUGUUCAUAUUAACACCCUACGCUUAGCAGCAGAGAUACAAGGAGUGAAAUGAGAGACAAACAGGUGCAUAUGAGAAUUGUCCUCCCAGAUACGGUCACUUACAAAAUUCUUUGCUCAAUUUUGUGAGAGUAAAGGCAAAUAAUAUAACCUUUCCAAUGGUAAAUUACUUCACCGUAUUGAAAAUCCGCGCUAAAGACACCACACGUUGAUCCCGAGCCUACACCGAAACGUGGUCGUCCCUUAAGCCACAAACACACAAACACUCGCGUACACCGGAGUGUCAUUCCCGGUUGGCUCCGGUAGCUCCCCGGUUUAGGGAAGAAAAAAUGCCAUAUGAUGAUUAUAGCAUACCAUCAUCACGGCAUGACAUUAUCAGUCGAGGAGGAGAAGACAUUCACACACUACUUCCCCGGGCUUGGGGGGGAAGAGAACGAGAUCGACAGGGAGCGGUGGUGCCUCUGCGUGUUUGACCAACCGGCGAAAGGAAGGGGGUUUUUCGUUCGUUUCGAAAGGCAAAAAAGUGGAAGUUUUUCCACGUGUUAUUUUCCCUGUUCUUUUCCUUUUGCGCCCUGGCGGCUGAUAUGAUGGGAGUCGUCCCGGUUAUGUCCCGCCGGUUGUUCUGGUGGUUCUGUUCGGAGGUUUCUCUUUCCUUCUCCAGCCACAAACACACGCCCAAACCAUAUGUUUGCUCAUCGAAAUAUGUAUCCUUGCCCUCCGCUAGGAAGACCCGACCGGGCGUGGUGGUGGUUUGCCACAGUGUGGUGAUGUCGCGUGCACGUGUGUGUGUUAGGGUUUUUUUUCCUUUACGCCAAAUGCAAAUGCCACAUACCACCACCACCACCAGCAGAGACUGAGUGUGAGAGGGUUUUGGUAAAAAAGGCGCGUCAGAAACACGGCGCGCGCGUUUUUUUAUGCUUCUUUCCUUUCCGUAAUCUUAAUUUCUUCUUCCUUUUCUUCCUUCAGGGUGUAGAGCCGUUGUGGUGUUGCUGUGGAUGAAAUUUCUGCUCCCACGUUGUAUGAAAAUUCAACUCGCAGAGCGCGAAUAUUUUAGAUGGAACCGGGGCGAAAAAAACGAGGUGUGUUGAUUCCUCCUCCUCAACCACCAUACUCCCCGGAGUUAAUGCAUCUUAGCUACCUCCUCCUCCGGGUUUUGUACAAAGCAAAUUGAACAACAACGUCGGACGGAAGUCGGAUGAUGGAUCGGCGGGAUCGCGAGCAUGUAUCGAGUGUGGUGUGUGCAGUGCAGACAACACAAGGCACUCAGUGGCACGCAGCAGGGCGACACGGACGAGGUGGACGACGAGGAUUUAUUGUUUUAUGGCACCCAUAAAUGUUAGGAAAAAGUUUUUGUCAGAACAACAUAGCGCAAACGACGAGACGACACCAAUGAUGAUGAGGAUGACGGUAUGCUCCUAGGCGGGUCAGUUGGCAAACACACAAACCGGCGAAAACGCGUGCGAUUCUGUAGUCGCAGCAGGCAGGAAAUUGAAAGAGAAAGCCAACGUUGUGGGGGAAAAGUUUUAGACGCGGCAAGUAAUGUUAGUUAGAUCGGAAGACACAUGGCGCAAAUGGCGGCGGCGGCGCACAUGGCGAUACGCAAGAAGAUGCGCGGUCGAUUGACCGUUGCGUGUACAAGCAACGGGAAACGGGAAAAGUAGAAAAAAGAAGCGAGAAACGCCUUAUCACAUUUAUAUACUCCGCUGACCCCGGCCGGUGAUGGAAGGGGGGGUUUGAAUCCGUUCCGGCGGUUUGAGCACGCGCGCAGACGCGAAAUUCGUUCGGCGGUGGAGCAGGUCUGAUGUGGACAUGUGGACGCGUGCCAGUGAAAUGUAUGGUUGUGUGUGUGUGUUGCUUCCCUCUUCCCCUUCCCACAACUCUCUUUCCGGUAUGGAUUUUCCGGUCGCGUUUCGUCUCGCGCUCGCAUUUUCGAACAUUGGUUUAUGGAUUUUGGAGCCGGCCAAAGGAGGAGGAGGAUUAACGAAAUUAUCACAGACAGAUCAAUUUCGCCUCCCUUCACACCACACAGACGGCAAGGGGGUGUAAUAAAAGCAGGCUUUAAAAAUACAAACGAAUUAAGUUGUCAUACAGUCGUCGGAGGUCGUGACAGUCGACCGAUCGCGAGAGAGAGUGUGUAUUUGCUUUCUCAUCGCAAGAAAGAUUGUUUUUGUUAAAUAUUAUCUUUUGCUUUUCAUAAAUAAUUAAAAGCUUCAGAUGCG